GAGAGUAUAGCUCAAGUGGUAGAGCACAUGCUUAGCAUGCACGAGGUCCUGGGUUCAAUCCCUGGUACCUCCC
rnacentral:tRNA from 1 species